UCAGGUGACUAUAGCACUGAGGUUCCACCUCUUCCCAUUCCGAACAGAGAAGUUAAGCU
rnacentral:rRNA from 1 species